rnacentral:lncRNA from 1 species
UUCUGUUCUUAUUAUCAGUUAUGAAAUGUUACUUCGUUCCCUGGAUCAAAUUAAGAAUAUAAAAUUUGAUCUUCUAAUCUGUGACGAGGGGCAUCGUUUGAAGAACAGUGCCAUUAAGACAACUACAGCCCUCAUUAGCCUUUCUUGUGAGAAAAGAAUAAUUCUAACUGGUACUCCAAUUCAGAAUGAUCUGCAAGAAUUUUUUGCAUUAAUUGAUUUUGUAAAUCCAGGAAUAUUAGGCUCUUUGUCAUCUUAUAGGAAAAUAUAUGAAGAACCCAUCAUUUUAUCGAGAGAACCUUCUGCUUCUGAGGUAUAAUUUACUCUAAUAAAUAGGUUUUUAAAAAGCCGUAUGUCUGAGGAAAUCAUCCAUAACUUCAUAUUAUUUUGAUUUAGAAAAAUCAAUAGUGUGAACUCUUUAUUUUUCUCCACAAUCCUUCGUUUCUUGCAUUCCUUAUUUUAGAAUAUGACAUCACUUGUCUAAAAUUCAUGAAUAGGAACUUCACAAAGAAUUAUGACAAUAAACAUAUAAAAAUGUUCAUCUUUACUAGUUUUGAAAAAAGUAGAACAAAAUAACCAAAGUGACUUUUGUACUUUUCUAUUGGUGUGUGUUUGUUUAUUUAGAGAUGGUGU